rnacentral:rRNA from 1 species
AAUGAACGCUGGCGGCGUGCUUAACACAUGCAAGUCGCACGAGAACGCUUUAGCUUGCUAAAGCAAGUAAAGUGGCGCACGGGUGAGUAACGCGUGGGCAAUCUACCUCCGAAUUGGGGAUAACACUGCGAAAGUGGUGCUAAUACCGAAUGAUAUCCCCGAGACUCCGGUCUUGGUGAUCAAAGGUGGCCUCUACAUGUAAGCUACUGUUUGGAGAUGAGCCCGCGUACCAUUAGCUUGUUGGUAGGGUAACGGCCUACCAAGGCUUCGAUGGUUAGCUGGUCUGAGAGGAUGAUCAGCCACACUGGAACUGACAUACGGUCCAGACUCCUACGGGAGGCAG